rnacentral:tRNA from 1 species
GGGGAUUUAGCUCAGUGGCAUAAGCACCUGCCUUGCAAGCAGGUGGUCGGGAGUUUGAUCCCCA